GUAGGUGGCAAGCGUUGUCCGGAAUUAUUGGGCGUAAAGCGCGCGCAGGCGGUUCCCUUUAAGGUCUGAUGUGAAAGCCCACGGGCUCAACCGUGGAGGGUCAUUGGAAACUGGAGAACUUGAGUACAGAAGAGGAAAGCGGAAUUCCACGUGUAGCGGUGAAAUGCGUAGAGAUGUGGAGGAACACCAGUGGCGAAGGCGGCUUUCUGGUCUGUAACUGACGCUGAGGCGCGAAAGCGUGGGGAGCAAACAGGAUUAGAUACCCUGGUAGUCCACGCCGUAAACGAUGAGUGCUAAGUGUUAGGGGGUUUCCGCCCCUUAGUGCUGCAGCUAACGCAUUAAGCACUCCGCCUGGGGAGUACGGCCGCAAAGGCUG
rnacentral:rRNA from 1 species